rfam:Triticum aestivum genome assembly, contig: Triticum_aestivum_CS42_TGACv1_scaffold_131167_2BL
CUUCUACUCCCUCAGUCCGGAAUUACUUGUCUCGGAAAUGGAUAAAAAUGGAUCUAUCUAGAACUAAAAUAGGUCUAGAUACAUCCAUUUCCCCGACAAGUUACUCCGGAUGGAAGGAGUACAAU